CUCCCACCCUCUCCUAAAAGGUCCCGCGGGAAGCUUCGCACCGCAACGCCCUUACCGGAAGUGACUGGGCAGACACUUUUCAUAGCGCCCAGAUCCCGAAGCCCCCAGUAACCUAGAUGCAAAUCCUGUUACCUUCCUGCCGGAAGCAUUCUCUAAGAUGGCUGGCUAGAGUUAAAAAGGGUGCAUUCUAAGGCCAAGAAACAGGAAGGUAACUAACACGUCCCUCUAGCACAAUUCCUAGGGCCAAUCCCAGCUCCAACUCCCAUCAGCCGUUAACCCGGUAAUUUACAGACUAAACAAAGCCACUUCUUUUUAUGAAAUCCUGGUUCAUGUUAUUUCUCCAGACAUUUUAAGAGAACAAUAUCGGUAAAAGUCAAUGUUUUCUACCAAUAUAGUACACAAACCCAAAUUUUAAAACAUUAAUCCUAAAAACAAACCUUUAAAUUUGGUUACAUUAACAACAAUAAGCCAUGUAAAUCCCCUGUUGGAAGUUUUUAUUUAACCCGAGAGUAUUGCGGAAGGGGAGGUAGGAGAACCUGGCAAACAAAACUAAAU